GAUGGAUGAGUGGAGCUAGGCGGAGCGAAAUUCAUCUGGCUAUUGCCAGGUUAGUUUCGUUCACCUUGAAGCUUCGAGCAUCAGUUCAUGGUUUCAGCACAGAUGAAGCCGCCUUCUGGGUUCCUGCUUCCAGAUGCUGCACCUGCAGUACUGCCCCAUCUGGGCUACUUCUUUCUGAGAGCUCGGGACCUGGAUUGUGCCCAGAAAUUUCAGAUUGGGAGAUGGAGGAUGAGGCUCAAAACAUUGAAAAAGAUGAUCAGUGUGCCCAAGACACAGCACUGACAGUAACAUCAAAUGACUCAAAAGAUGACCAGAAUCAAGCAGCACUGCCAUAGAUGCAUGUUCAACACGUCAACCAAGCCUGCCUAAAGAAUGACGCUCAGACGUAAGGUGUGAAGCUGAAUAGUGGACACAUCAACAUCAACACCAUGUACAAGUGAAGGGAACAAUUCUGAGGAAGAGUACAGACUAGGCUUUGUGGGAAAUGAGCAAUAUUGCUGCUUUGUAAUAAUUACAGCGAUGAAGUCCAUUUGCUCUACUGUACAGUGCUUUGCCUUCUAUUUCAUAUAGGAUAUACAGUAUAUAAUGAAUGCAUUGAUCUAAGUUACAGUACAUGCAGUUGUAAAUAUCGACAAAGCAUUAACCUCAUCUUUAUUAGUACUUUA